rnacentral:misc_RNA from 1 species
GUAGGUGAACCUGCGGAGGGAUCAUUAACACGUGCCAAAACACGUUUCUAACCAAUCGCCUGUGAACACAAACCCAACUCCCUUCACAUGUGGACGACCGAACAACCAUCAGGGUGGAGUGUGUGGAUGUGGAACAACCGACUCCGAAAGGGGAAGGCUCGACAUCUCGCAACUAUGGCUCGGUCUAGGGCUCCUCGAGAGUCCAAUCCUAUGUGAAGCGAUGCGCGACCACCUGGCAGUGUGCCUUUUCAAUGGGACUGCUAACGCGGCCUGUUGAAGUGGGCAAGCGUUCUGCCGAAUGUUUAACCCCAUAACUUUUAACCCCUUUAACAACAUACUAAUAACUGAACCAUGUUUCGUGCAGCUGCUUGUGUGACUCGUUCACGCAUGUUGGCUCAUGAAUACGAUAUACGUAAUGCUGAACAACUCUUAGCAAUGGAUAUCUUGGUUCUC